rnacentral:rRNA from 1 species
GCGAACGCUGGCGGCAGGCCUAAUACAUGCAAGUCGAGCGGUCCCUUCGGGGGCAGCGGCGGACGGGUGAGUAACGCGUGGGAACGUGCCCUUUGGUACGGAACAACUGAGGGAAACUUCAGCUAAUACCGUAUGUGCCCUUCGGGGGAAAGAUUUAUCGCCAUUGGAGCGGCCCGCGUUAGAUUAGCUAGUUGGUAGGGUAAUGGCCUACCAAGGCGACGAUCUAUAGCUGGUCUGAGAGGAUGAUCAGCCACACUGGGACUGAGACACGGCCCAGACUCCUACGGGAGGCAGCAGUAGGGAAUCUUGCGCAAUGGGCGAAAGCCUGACGCAGCCAUGCCGCGUGAAUGAUGAAGGUCUUAGGAUUGUAAAAUUCUUUCACCGGGGACGAUAAUGACGGUACCCGGAGAAGAAGCCCCGGCUAACUUCGUGCCAGCCGCCGCGGUAA